GACGAACGCUGGCGGCGUGCCUAACACAUGCAAGUCGAACGAAGCUUGAUUUCUGAUUUUUUCGGAAUGACGAAUGAUAUGACUGAGUGGCGGACGGGUGAGUAACGCGUGAGCAACCUGCCCUUCGGAACGGGAUAGUGUCUGGAAACGGACAGUAAUACCGUAUAACAUAUAUUGAUCGCAUGGUCGAUAUAUCAAAACUGAGGUGCCGAAGGAUGGGCUCGCGUCUGAUUAGAUAGUUGGUGGGGUAACGGCCUACCAAGUCGACGAUCAGUAGCCGGACUGAGAGGUUGAACGGCCACAUUGGGACUGAGACACGGCCCAGACUCCUACGGGAGGCAGCAGUGGGGAAUAUUGCACAAUGGGGGAAACCCUGAUGCAGCAACGCCGCGUGAAGGAAGACGGUUUUCGGAUUGUAAACUUCUGUUCUUAGUGAAGAAUAAUGACGGUAGCUAAGGAGCAAGCCACGG
rnacentral:rRNA from 1 species